rnacentral:rRNA from 1 species
CUAAGUAGACCGCCUGGGGAGUACGGCCGCAAGGUUAAAACUCAAAUGAAUUGACGGGGGCCCGCACAAGCGGUGGAGCAUGUGGUUUAAUUCGACGCAACGCGAAGAACCUUACCUACUCUUGAAAUCCUGCGAAGUCGGAAGAGAUUCUGAUGUGCCUUCGGGAACGCAGUGACAGGUGCUGCAUGGCUGUCGUCAGCUCGUGUUGUGAAAUGUUGGGUUAAGUCCCGUAACGAGCGCAACCCUUGUCCUUAUUUGCCAGCACUUCGGGUGGGAACUCUAAGGAGACUGCCGGUGACAAACCGGAGGAAGGUGGGGACGACGUCAAGUCAUCAUGGCCCUUACGAGUAGGGCUACACACGUGCUACAAUGGCCGGUACAGAGGGCUGCAAUCCUGCGAGGGGGAGCUAAUCUCACAAAACCGGUCGUAGUCCGGAUUGGAGUCUGCAACUCGACUCCAUGAAGUCGGAAUCGCUAGUAAU